rnacentral:rRNA from 1 species
CGGCGGACGGGUGAGUAAUGCCUAGGAAUCUGCCUGGUAGUGGGGGAUAACGUCCGGAAACGGACGCUAAUACCGCAUACGUCCUACGGGAGAAAGCAGGGGACCUUCGGGCCUCGCGCUAUCAGAUGAGCCUAGGUCGGAUUAGCUAGUUGGUGAGGUAAUGGCUCACCAAGGCGACGAUCCGUAACUGGUCUGAGAGGAUGAUCAGUCACACUGGAACUGAGACACGGUCCAGACUCCUACGGGAGGCAGCAGUGGGGAAUAUUGGACAAUGGGCGAAAGCCUGAUCCAGCCAUGCCGCGUGUGUGAAGAAGGUCUUCGGAUUGUAAAGCACUUUAAGUUGGGAGGAAGGGUACUUACCUAAUACGUGAGUAUUUUGACGUUACCGACAGAAUAAGCACCGGCUAACUCUGUGCCAGCAGCCGCGGUAAUACAGAGGGUGCAAGCGUUAAUCGGAAUUACUGGGCGUAAAGCGCGCGUAGGUGGUUCGUUAAGUUGGAUGUGAAAUCCCCGGGCUCAACCUGGGAACUGCAUCCAAAACUGGCGAGCUAGAGUAUGGUAGAGGGUGGUGGAAUUUCCUGUGUAGCGGUGAAAUGCGUAGAUAUAGGAAGGAACACCAGUGGCGAAGGCGACCACCUGGACUGAUACUGACACUGAGGUGCGAAAGCGUGGGGAGCAACAGGAUUAGAUACCCUGGUAGUCCACGCCGUAAACGAUGUCAACUAGCCGUUGGGAGCCUUGAGCUCUUAGUGGCGCAGCUAACGCAUUAAGUUGACCGCCUGGGGAGUACGGCCGCAAGGUUAAAACUCAAAUGAAUUGACGGGGGCCCGCACAAGCGGUGGAGCAUGUGGUUUAAUUCG